rnacentral:rRNA from 1 species
GGUUCGAUUCUGCGGCUCAAGACCAGACGCUGGCGGAUCUUUUACCUUUAUGCAAGUCGAACGGCAGCACGGACUUCGGUCUGGUGGCGAGCGGCAGACGGGUGAGUAAUGUAUGGAACGUGCCUAGUAGCGGGGGAUAACUACGCGAAAGCGUAGCUAAUACGCAUACGCCCUUCGGGGAAAGCGGGGACGCUUACCAGGCCUCACUGAGCAGCCGAUAUCGGAUUAGCCUGAAUUGGUGGGGUAACGGCUCACCAAGGCGACGAUCCGUAGCUGGUUUGAGAGGACGACUAAGCUACACUGGGACUGAGACUGCAGCCCAGACUCCUGGGGAGGCAGCAGUGGGGAAUUUUGGACAAUGGGGAAACCCUGAUCCAGCCAUCCCGCGUGUGCGAUGAAGGCCUUCGGGUUGUAAAGCACUUUUUGGCAGGAAAGAAACGGCCACCGGAUAAUGCGUGCAACUGACGGUACCUGCAGAAUAAGCACCGGCUAACUACGUGCCAACAGCCGCGGUAUCACAUGGUGCAGCAUUAAUCAGGUUACUGGGCGUAGUGCGCAGGCAGACCGGAAGAAAGAUGUGAAAUCCCAGAGCUUAACUUUGGAACUGCAUUUUUAACUGCCGGGCGCCGAGAGUGUGUCAGAGAGUGGAAUUCCGCGUGUAGCAGUGAAAUGCGUAGAUAUGCGGAGGAACACCGAUAGCGAAGGCAGCCUCCUGGGAUAACACUGACCACAGCUCGCGAAAGCGUGGGGGCAAACGGGAUUAGAUACCCUGGUAGUCACGCCUAAACGUAUCAACUAGCUGUUGGGGCCUUCGGGCCUUGGUAGGCGCAACUAACGCGUAAGUUGACCGCCUGGGAAGAUACGGUCGCAAGAUUAAAGCUCGAAGGAAUUGACGGGGACCUGGCAGUGGAUGAUGUGGAUUAAUUGGUCAACGCGAAAACCUUACCUACGCCAGCAUGCGAAUCCCGAAGAGAUUUGAGUGCUCGCAAGAGAACCAGACAGUGCUGCAUGGCUGUCGUCAGCUCGUGUCGUGAGAUGUUGGGUUAAGUCCCGCAACGAGCGCAACCCUUGGCCAUUAGUUACGAAGAGGGCGCCCUGUUGAGACUGCCGGUGACAAACCGGAGGAGGGAGUUGGGGAUGACGUCAAGUCCUCAUGACCUUAUGGGUAGGGCUUCACACGUCAUCACAAUGGUCAGGACAGAGGGUCGCCAACCCGCAGGGGGCCAAUCCCAGAAACCCGAUCGUGAGUCCGGAUCGCAGUGCCAUCGACUACGUGGUCAGAAUCGCUAGUAAUCGCGGAUCAGCAUGUCGCGGUGAAUACGUUCGGGUCUUGUACACACCGCCCGUCACACCAUGGGAGUGGGUUUUACCAGAAGUAGUUAGCCUAACCGUAAGGAGGGCGAUUACCACGGUAGGAUUCAUGACUGGGGUGAAGUCGCGCGAGGCCGCUCUGUUUUGCAGUGCUCCCGGGAACAAUACGUAGCA